UACGGAGGAUGCGAGCGUUAUCCGGAUUUAUUGGGUUUAAAGGGUGCGUAGGCGGCCGAGUAAGUCAGCGGUGAAAUUUUGCAGCUUAACUGUAACAGUGCCGUUGAUACUGCAUGGCUAGGAUUUGGUUGCUGUGGGUGGAAUGUGUGGUGUAGCGGUGAAAUGCUUAGAGAUCACACAGAACACCGAUUGCGAAGGCAUCUCACAAAGCCGUUAUUGACGCUGAGGCACGAAAGUGUGGGGAUCAAACAGGAUUA
rnacentral:rRNA from 1 species